GAUGAACGCUGGCGGCGUGCUUAAUACAUGCAAGUCGAGCGGUAAGGCUUUCACAGUUUGCUUAAACGUUUUAAUCCCUAGAUCUAGGCUAGAUCUGAGGCAGUUUGAGCAAUGUGUGAAAGUACACGAGCGGCGGACGGGUGAGUAACGCGUAAGAAUGUACCCCAAAGUGAGGGAUAAGCACCAGAAAUGGUGUCUAAUACCGCAUGUGCUCUUCGGAGUAAAGCUUUAUGCGCUUUGGGAACAGCUUGCGUCUGAUUAGCUAGUUGGUAAGGUAACGGCUUACCAAGGCGACGAUCAGUAGCUGGUCUGAGAGGAUGACCAGCCACACUGGGACUGAGACACGGCCCAGACUCCUACGGGAGGCAGCAGUAGGGAAUUUUCCACAAUGGGCGAGAGCCUGAUGGAGCAACGCCGCGUGAUGGAUGAAGGCCUUAGGGUCGUAAACAUCUUUUCUCUGUGACGAAUAUGACGGUAGCAGAGGAAUAAGGAUCGGCUAACUACGUGCCAGCCGCCGCAGUAAGAC
rnacentral:rRNA from 1 species